ACUAAGGAUUUCCUUAAAGGAACUUAAAAUGUUUCGUUUGAGAAACACUGCACUAAACCAUUUUUUUACAUUUGAGGUUAGAUAAAGCAGCAAGGAAAAAAAAAUCGGUGGGCACACCUGAACAAGAAACGCUGUUAACAAAUAUCUUCCUUUCAUUGUCUACUGCCUCCUGGAAAAUUUGGUUUCUUUGACAUGUACUCAGUUAAUACUCAUGUAAUAAAUUCUGCCAGUCAGUAAACUCAUGGAGCCUCAGGUCACUGAGCAUAAAGCUGGACAGAUCAAGUUAAUUGAGACCAGAAUUUGCUCCACUGGACCUUAAGUGAAUGAUCUCAAGAAACUCCAAAUACGUAGAUAGCUGCCAUACAGUGAAUAUUUCAUGUCAUGAAGAUUGGACAAGGUAAUAAAACGAGCUACUUCUUUCAACUGGAAGAAACAAAUAGUAUACCGUUAUUCAUUUAUUUUUAUUAUACCUUUCUCGAACUGUAGAGUGCAUCGCAGAAAUAUAGGAAAAAUAGAGGACCCUUUCAGCUCAGGUUUCUGUUCAACUUGGAACUUACCAUAAGAAGGCUGGGUGUGGGUAAGGAUUAGAGUAGAAGUGCUGUGUGAGACAGAAGGAUGCUGUAAAGAUUAGCUCAGAAUAAUAUGAUAGAAUGAAUGAGUUGAUGUGCAGUUACUAGCAGUGGAAAUCAGUAUCAUCUAUCUGCUAUUAAGAAAUGUACUGCUUUAGAGGCUUGUUUAGAAAAGACAGUGUAAAGCCCUGUUGAACUGAUCUAUUUCCUUCCUUUCUUUGCCCCCUACACCCAAAGAAUAUCCCUAGAAAAGGAUAAUAGGGGAGUUCCUGUACCAAGAAUACUUCUGAAAAAUCAGACUAUGGCUUAAAAAACAGCAGAGAAUUGAGAAAACUGAGAAAGCAGGUACAAUAAAUCUUCAGAGCGUGUUUGCGUUAAUCUCAAAGAAAUGCAAUGUGAAGGAACAGUAAUGUUGACAGAGAUAUACUAUUUGGCUCGCCUUCUGUAAAAUAAGUGUAAUAGCACACAAUUAAGCUCACUCAAGCUCUGGAGAGUUUAUCCAGAGAGGCUUCCUUUAAGAAUGAUGGUAUGCUAGCCUGACACUUGUCGCUAGCAGUUGUCAGAACUUUCUUUAACUUCUUUCAUGCUCAGCAAGAUUCAUUUCAGAGCAGGAGGUGCAUCAACUUAAAAAUACAACUGUGAUUGGAUAGUCUUGGCAGUAUGCGACAUCUCUGUAGCCUACCUCUGGGUUAUGCCCAUUUACUGCCAAGCAACUUUAAUUUUUACUCGUGCCGGGAAGGAAGAAAUGUCAGGAGGGAAUCGGGUUUUCCAAAUACAUCAUUGAGCAAAUGGCCAGCUAAUUUGCAGAGCUUUAUAUUAUCAGUAACUAACUUAAGAAGCAAGAUUCUGUACUCCAAAGGAUCACAAGGUAAGAAAUAGACACUUUCUAGAAUCAUAAUUUCAACCCCUCUGCCUUACACACAGCUUACCUUUAGUGUUGGCCAGUCACUUCAGUUGCUUCACACUCCUCCUCUUCAUCUUGGUCCUGUGCUGUUGUCUUUGCAAGGAAAUAUUUUUUCUUUUUUUUUUUUUCUUUAGUGCCUGCACCUAAAAAGAUCUCUACUUCCUAGAACUGGAAGUCUGAGAGUCUGUUUUCACUCUGUUUACUUCUGGGUGUAGGAAUCAGACUAAGCAAAAUAAUGAUCUCUGCCAUGAAUUCAGCUGAGCCAUCUUUUUUAACUAGAUUGCAUAAAUAAGAGGAGAGGAAAAAAAAAUAUAUAUAUAUUCAGUGUUUAUGUAACAUUAAUAAUCAAUAAUUAAAAAUACUUCUUAGCAUGUGAUUCACUGGAGU